CAUGAUGAGUCUGAUAUUGAUAUUGAUGUAGACGCUGUCAAAAAACAACAACAGAUACUGCGUUUAUUGAAAAGCCCGAACUUGAUGUGGCAGAAGCUGAUAAACAAAACAAAUUUAAGGUUGACUUUUUAGAAAUGUUUAAGCACAAAUUUAAUUAAUAAUUAUUAUUAUAAAAAAGAGUUAUGGAGAUAAAUAACCAAUAAUUUGAUGUUCUACAGGUUGGGAAGUUAUUUUCGAGACCCCGAGGAAGUGUGAGGUGUAUGGAAUCAGCUGUGAAGGAUCUGGAAAGCAGGUGUUUUACCUCGCAGACGAAGGCCAGUCACAUGGUAAAGGUGCAAAUGCUGUGGUCAGCCAGGUUCACCACUACCUCAACACAUACGGCGAACAGCAUGCUCACUUUCAGUGUGACAACUGUUGCGGCCAAAAUAAAAACAACAUAGUCAUCUGGUACCUUCUGUGGAGAGUUCUUGUAGAAACUUCAAUGCAGAAAUGUUGUCUGAUGUCGCUGCGUCUGUGGGGUUAUCGUCAAGGACAGGCCACAACAUCCCCCAGCUUGUGGGGGACACUUCCAAUCCUGUUGUUAUCAAAGACAGGAAGGAUUACCUUUCGACAUUGUUUCACCACAUAAAGAAUGUAACCAAAUUUCAUCAAUUUCCAUGUGUCAGCGGAUCAUCCCGGUGUUGUGGAGU